AUUAUGAAGUUAAUAAGAAUAUUAAAAGCCGCUUUCGAUCUUUUGAAGGACCCCCGGAUUGAGCCUGCCCUGACAAAUGCCACAUGCUGCCCAAAAAGAGUAAUUAACAACAAACUAAUCAACCCAUCACUCAGGAGGCCAAACCCAUACGGCAUAUCCCACAGAGAGAGAACAGAUAGGGCUGUGAACAGGAAGAGGCCUGCGAAUGCAACUUCUCGAGCAUACAGAGCCUGGUUUCAGUGGUGGAGGUGUCAACUAUCAAUGGAUGAUUAUCUUGACUACAUUUCCAGUCAGGACUCCGAUUAUCUGUCAGUGCUGUUUCACUUGUAUGACAGUGAUGAUGAUGAAGAGGCAGAGAGACACAAGCUGGCUCAGCUGCAGCAAGACGAGAGGAGAAGAAGGCAACAGGAAAGGAUCAGUUCACUUAGGAGACAGAAACAAGAAUGUGUUCCUGGAUUCUGGAACAUCAACACCAUAGAGAUGGGAGGAUUGGGAAGGGAACCAGAACUGGAUGGCAUGUUGUAGUUUUCUUAAAAAAAAAAAAAUACUGGUACAUUUAUGAAAAUGCAUUAUUUAGUGUCAAAAACGACAUGAAUGAAUGUAGAAAUAUCUGUGUUUCAGAGAAAAAUCCAGAAGAGGAAAUACAAGAUGCAUCUGAGGGAGAUGAAGGUGAAGGUGCUGGACUGCUGGAUGGAGAACAGAUGCAGGUCAGGCUGGAGAGGGUCUGGAACGCCCUGCUUCUGCCAGAAGGACAGCGACUAGACAUGGCCAUUAAAUACAGCUCUCAUGAGUACAGGAACCAUCUGCAGGA
rnacentral:lncRNA from 1 species